GUCGAACGCUGGCGGCGUGCCUAACACAUGCAAGUCGAGCGGCGUUGGGAAGUGAGAAGUGCGAAGUAGGAAGUGGGAAUAGAAGAAAUUGGCGAAGCCAAUUUCAACGAAACCCACAUCAAACUUCUCGCCUCUCACUUCCCGAUGCAGCGGCGGACGGGUGAGUAACACGUAGGCAACCUACCCAUCACACGGGGAUAGCUCGGGGAAACCCGGGGUAAUACCCGAUACCUUUACUUACCGCAUGGUAAGUGAAGAAAGCGACUAAGCGGUGAUGGAUGGGCCUGCGGCCCAUUAGCUAGUUGGCGGGAUAACAGCCCACCAAGGCAACGAUGGGUAGCCGACCUGAGAGGGUGGCCGGCCACACUGGGACUGCGACACGGCCCAGACUCCUACGGGAGGCAGCAGUGGGGGAUAUUGCGCAAUGGGGGAAACCCUGACGCAGCGACGCCGCGUGAGCGAAGAAGGCUUCGGGUUGUAAGCUCAGUCAUCGGGGACGAAGAGGACGGUACCGAGGAGGAAGCCCGGCUACUACUUGCACACGGGGG
rnacentral:rRNA from 2 species